CGAUACUUGGUGUGAAUUGCAGAAUUCAGUGAAUCAUCGAAUCUUUGAACGCACAUUGCGCCCAUUAGUAUUCUAGUGGGCAUGCCUGUUCGAGCGUCAUUUCAACCCUUAAGCCUUCUGUUGCUUAGCGUUGGGGGCCUACCGUAUGGCGGUAGCCCUUUAAAAUUAGUGGCGGAGUCGGUUCACACUCUAGACGUAGUAAAUAUUAUCUCGCCUAUUAGUUGGACCGGUCCCCUGCCGUAAAACCCCUUAAUUUUUCAAGGUUGACCUCGGAUCAGGUAGGAAUACCCGCUGAACUUAAGCAUAUCAAUAAGCGGAGGA
rnacentral:rRNA from 1 species